GCGCGUCGCUGCCACCAGGGGUCGCAGCCCACUAACAUGUUGCUGGUCAGGGAGGAAACGAGAGGUGUGAUGAACCUGGGACGUCUAUAGCCUCCUGAACAGCAUCGAUAAAAGAGGGGGACACCUCGAGAAAGCCGCAGACGAGCCGCUCCGGAGCAGCCGGAGCCACAGCUGAGCUUGGACGGGCGAGCCAACACACCGCAGGAAUGUGUGCAGUUACAGGCAAACACAUGCUCGGACGUUACUCAAUGUAGUGGUCUUGUCCGUUUUUAAAGUCCUCUUACAGAAUAAUUGGAAAUACGGGGCUACAUUGCUGCGCCCCCGACGGAAACCUAUAAUUGGAGACGAGCCAGUGACGCGCUGAAAAUAACCAGGUUUCCACUUAGCACCGGUCCAUUUUGGGGAGGGCCCACCACGAGGGCGCAGCACCAUAUAUCAGCUCCUUCCAGCUGUUUGGGAAUAUCCUGCUCAUAAUAUCGAGGCUGCAGCAUGGCAGUAGCAACAGCAGGCUCCGUUCUCUCUCCCCGGCUGUCUCUUUCCAGAAUGGAUAUUGGGUGACUGGUUGGGUGCUGGGUGCGCACCGGGAAUCUCUCGGUGGGAAACGCAAAGGCGUUUUUUUAAGGGAGGGAGGGCGGGGAGGGUAGACUGACACAAUGCGCGACACUGUUGCGUCUGCAUGUUUCCCCCCCUUGGAAAUAGGUGAAAAGAUAGGCCGGGGGGACUGUCCGACUUCUUCCAAAAGAAAAUUCGUUCCCCCACCCCUAAAAGGAUAAUCUUGCUCAAUUUGGGAUGCGUGCAACACCAAGUGAUCAGAUAUUACUGGGGCGGUGGUGGUGGCGGAGGAUAGAUGGUGAAGUUCAACUUCGCUUGCAGACGAGAUCUCCUUCAAACAGCCAGACAACCAACCAGACAGUCGGGGUUUUUUUUCCCUCGAAGUCCCCAUAUGGCUGCGGGAUGCUGACACCUGCGCGGUACGCAGGUAACAAUAACCGGGCAGCAUCACCUACUUCUGCAGACACUGACAGACAGCAGAUCAGCGGCUCGGUGGCUCAGAACCUAUUGUGGAGCCACCAUGGCUGCCAACAACAAGACAUGAUGACAUUGUCCCGUUUUCACGCUGGAGGCCUCCCAGUAAGGAGUUCUCUUGAAUACCUCUUUAGUGUGACAUGGAGUCGGGCCUGCAACCACCAGCGGAGCUGAGCUGAGCUGCAGAGCUGCUGAGACCUGCCAGACCCACAGCUUCCCCUGCCAGGGGCCUCGGCUCACAGUCAGAGUGAGUUAAAACCCAUGCUCCUGACACACACAUGCUAAUCCUGAAACACACAUACGGAUAGCUUAAACAUGUACAGUAUGCAUGCAUGAAUGUAGGCAUACGUGGAACACAUAGUGAAGCUUAUGUGUACAACCAUAAACCUAUACACACAUGCAGACAGAAAAGAAAGAAAAUCCUAUAUGUAAGAAUGCAGAUAAAUGCAAAUGUAUUCACACACUUGCCAGUACAACCAUAUUCUCAUACAUAAUGAUACCCCACUAACAGUAUAUUUUGCCCCAUUGGACCAGUCAAUGCAUCAGGAAGGCCACUGCAUGCACAGCUACUUAUAUAGAUACUGUUAAGUGCAAGAGCUUAGCAGAAGGUGCAUGUGUGUGAGCGAGUGAGUAAGUGACACACGGCAUCAAUAUGUGACUGUAUAUAUACCGUGUAAACAAUAUGUUUUAGCUGCAUAGGUGUGUCAGUAUGUGCUUCUCACUUAAUCUUUUUUCAUCAUGGCUCAGACAGGAUCCCCUACACCCCGUCUCAAGAUGAUGAGAUGAAGCAAGUAGUCUAAGUUUAGAGAGGGUAAUCAAUCCCACAAGUUCCUGGUUUAGUGUCCAUGUUUCCGAUUUUUUUUUUCCUGGGAAAAAAGUUCUUCCACACCACAUGUAAGCCAGUGAAUUGUCUAUUUAUAAUAAUGAAAAGUCUUUAAUGAUUAAUUAUACAUGUAUGCGUCUACCCUGUAAACUCAACCAUGGUGAUUUCCAUGUUUAUAUUGUACUACAGUUAUGUGUUUACAGGUUUCCUAUGAGUUAAAUACAUUCCAUGGCAUCAUGCCCUUACAAAUUAAUUUCAUUUUGAAAAUUAAUUAGUGACAGGGAAUCAAGGGCCGUUUUUCUUAGCUCAAAGUAUGAGGUAAAAUCUUUCUGUGGCUACCGCCCCACAACCAUAUUUACUAAGGAGAAUGAAUUGUAUUGUACAUACUAUAUUACCACAAUGAGAUGAUCAUCAUUAAUAAGGCACAUUGGGUCGUGUUUUUUUUUUCUGCUGUGACAACAUGAAGUGGAACUUUCCAUGCCAAUGUUAUUCAAUCAAUAACUUUUGUGGCAACUGUAGUAGAGUUGAUGUAUGGUUCAAUUAUGUAACUGUUUAAGACUAGGGGAAGAUUGUACUCAUGGUAAAUAUACUACAUGGUUAGGGUGAGGUUAAGUUUGGGUAACUAAAAACACUUGAUGAUGUGAUUUUACACAUCAAAGUCUGUUUACAGGUCUUGGGGAGUACUACAUGAAAAAAAGUUGUAUUUUGUGGCUCCAGAGGGAUCUGCGCAAAAUCUUAUGUAUUGACUCAAGUGAUGUUACUUGAGUCAGCGGCAGUUGGGUCUGAAGACUACUAGUUUGAAAAUUAAAAUAAUUUGGGGGUGUGGAGUUAAAAAGAAGCGAGUUUACCAGACCUCUGUAGCUGCUCCUCAUCUCUGCUUGAGGCUAGUAUGCACUGACUUUACACACUGAGUGCACAUGUGUGGUGUGGAGUUUAUCGGGGCCUUUAGACAACAAAACUGGUAGAAAAAACUUGAAGAAGGUUGAGUGAUGCAUUGCCUUCAAUUAUAGAAUAUAGUUGUAGUUUAUAUUGGCGCUGUAUCUUGACAUAAUCAUAUUUACACUCACUUGAGGGCUGACAAACCGUCUUUUUGGCUGGACGCUGUUUGAAUGUAUCUCAUAGCAGUGUCUGCGUGGUUUGCUAUAGAGCUUGUGUCUACAUUAAUCUCAGGAACAGUGAUGUGGCCCAGAGUUUAAUAGAAUGAGGCGUGGGUGUGGAGUAAGAGGCCCCUGGAGCAGAGUUAAGGUCUUAAAGUACUAAAAAGCUUUUGACCCAGACCCUACGCACCCACUCACAGGGACACAGCACUUCUCUCCCAGCAAAGCACAUACUUUCAUACUUUGGCUAUGCAGCAAAGAAACACACACACACACUUGGAUACACAUGAAAAAAAAACAGACAGAAGAAAGACAAGAUAUGAACUGAAACAACAAACAUACUUUUCUCAGAUGAAGAUGAGCACAAAAAGUACCCAGCCACAGAUGUCGUUGCAUUCGAUGUCCCUAGCUCUAACGAACACACACAUACACAGCAGAACACAUCCUUGUUGUCUUGUGUUGCUCGUCAAUGAGGAGCACAUGACUUAAAUCGGGUGUGGUGUGUGACCUCUUAUCGGACAAAAGCAUCCCACAGAGAGAGCUGAUGGAGGAGACUGUGCCUCCCUGCCUGUCCUGUCUGUCGGCAGUCAUGAGGUCUCGAUCCUGUUCGCCACGCCGUGUCUCGUGGUUAAAAGACCAUAAAAUCUUGGCGGCAUGUUGUCAAUAAUCAGCUGCUUAGCCUUAGGAGAGCGGCAUUAACUUGGGGAAAGGAAGUGCAAAAUACUUCUUUUUAAGGAGUUUAGCAAGAAUGAGGCCUUUGGAUAUUGUUGUCACGUCCUAUAAAUGUCAUACCUACAGGGCCCAAUAUCUCAGUGAGAUUCUCUCAAUGGUUGGUUUGUAUUUCACACAUUUACCCUGAAGCCUCGACAUGCUUAUGCAGUCAUGCAGAGCUAAAUGCAAAUAUUACAAGUAAUAGUGUAUACUGUUUUGUCUCAUUUACUGAUCUCUUUUUAGUGUCUUACUGAUGAGUUUGUAUCAUUUAACGGUCAUAACGAGAUAAUAUCUGUAUGUUAUUUUAAAAAGUCAUAUCAUUCA